CACGCCGCGUGAGUGAUGAAGGUUUUCGGAUCGUAAAGCUCUGUUGUUAGGGAAGAACAAGUGCCGUUCAAAUAGGGCGGCACCUUGACGGUACCUAACCAGAAAGCCACGGCUAACUACGUGCCAGCAGCCGCGGUAAUACGUAGGUGGCAAGCGUUGUCCGGAAUUAUUGGGCGUAAAGGGCUCGCAGGCGGUUUCUUAAGUCUGAUGUGAAAGCCCCCGGCUCAACCGGGGAGGGUCAUUGGAAACUGGGGAACUUGAGUGCAGAAGAGGAGAGUGGAAUUCCACGUGUAGCGGUGAAAUGCGUAGAGAUGUGGAGGAACACCAGUGGCGAAGGCGACUCUCUGGUCUGUAACUGACGCUGAGGAGCGAAAGCGUGGGGAGCGAACAGGAUUA
rnacentral:rRNA from 1 species